GUUAGAGCUUCAUGUCAGUAUAUAUAUAUAUAUAUAUACUGACAAACUUUUUUUUUUAAAUUACUCUUCUGCGUAAAUAUCCAGCAUCCUGAUACAGCAUUCAUUUUGCAGUAGUCCCACAUGAGAGCAAUAAUCCAGAUGUAAAGAUGUGCAUUCAUGUAGGCCUCACGUUAUAGAUUUAGGUACAUCAUUCCACCUGAGGUCCUUCCUAACUGCCAGUGUUUAGUUUGUGUUGCUCAUCUCAAGAGUUUUGGGAUGACUCACAUAUUAUUUUGCAUCUUUUUCCCGAUUUUAACUCUCUUUUACAAAAUUGUUAUGGCUUUAUGAUUGAAUUAAGAUUUUUUUUUGCUACAGCUUGUCUGUAAAUACACUUCAAAGACACUGUUUUUAAAUCAUGAUUAUAACUUUGUCUUGUGUCACACAGUUUUAUACCUUCGCCAAUACAGUUUUUCAGAUUCCUGUGAGAUCAGUAAAGGUACAGAUACGGGAUCCUGUGGUCUGAUAACUGCCCAGAAGGACCCAGUUCCUCUGAAGAGCAUUGAGGUGGAGCUGGAGGUGAGGGACCAUGUGGCU